GGUGAGGUACCGAAGUGGUCAUAACGGGGGCGCCUCGAAAGCGUCUUGCCCCGAAAGGGGCCCGUGGGUUCGAAUCCCACCCUCACCGCCA
rnacentral:tRNA from 1 species